CACUAGUGCCACUCCCACAUUUCUUCAGGAACUAGCCAAACUUAAGGAUUGUAACUAAAACCAUUGUUUUGUCAAUACAAGACAUAAACUAGGUUUAACACAAGUAUCUUGGUUUGAAAAGCUCACAUCUUGGUUUGAAAAGCUCACAUCUUUAAUAUUAAAUCCAUCUUCAAUAGAUUCCUUUUGUUAUCUACGUUCUUCUUUAUAGUGUCUCUCUUCAUUACCGAAGAUACUCAACAAAAUCUGUAGGUUGAUCUUUCCGAAUGGUGGUAAUAGUAGGAAAAAAAAACUAAGCCUUUGGAUGGGACUUGGAAAAGCAAAAGAUGCAGCAAGUAGUAUUUAGAGAUAUUUAUAAUUUUGUAUAGUCCAUAAAAUUCAUAUCUCCAGAUGGUGUUGACUGUCUUUCAUGGUGACUAAUUCUACAACAAAUUUCCUAAUUGAUUGAAGGUUCGAAGUUCAAACAUUCACGUGGACUAUUCACCAU
rnacentral:lncRNA from 1 species